GCCGGGCAUGGUGGUGCACACCUGUAAUCCCAGCUACUCAGGAGGCUGAAGCAGGAGGAUCACAAGUUUUCAGAUAGCCUGUGUAACUUAGCAAGACCCUGUCUCGA
rnacentral:sRNA from 1 species